CAGCCGCCGCGGUAAUACGAAGGGGGCUAGCGUUGUUCGGAAUCACUGGGCGUAAAGCGCACGUAGGCGGACUUUUAAGUCAGGGGUGAAAUCCCAAGGCUCAACCUUGGAACUGCCUUUGAUACUGGAAGUCUUGAGUUCGGGAGAGGUGAGUGGAACUGCGAGUGUAGAGGUGGAAUUCGUAGAUAUUCGCAAGAACACCAGUGGCGAAGGCGGCUCACUGGCCCGACACUGACACUGAGAGACGAAAGCUAGGGGAGCAAAUGGGAUUAGAUACCCCCGUAGUCCCUGUCUCUUAUAA
rnacentral:rRNA from 1 species